UUGCCCUACGGGGGGCAGCAGUAGGGAAUUUUCGUCAAUGGGCGCAAGCCUGAACGAGCAAUGCCGCGUGAACGAGGAAGGUCUUCGGAUCGUAAAGUUCUGUUGAAGGGGAAAAAGAGCGGAGAGAGGAAAUGAACUCCGAUUGAUAUUACCCUUCGAGGAAGUCACGGCUAACUACGUGCCAGCAGCCGCGGUAAUACGUAGGUGGCGAGCGUUAUCCGGAUUGAUUGGGCGUAAAGGGUGCGUAGGCGGCCUGCUAAGUCUGGAGUUACAUGUACCGGCUCAACC
rnacentral:rRNA from 1 species